UGGGAACACAGUGACUACAAAACCAAGUUCUCCUCUGACUCCUGGAACAACAAUGACUCCUAUACCAGAUAUGGAAACGUCUGCAUCACCUUCCGAGACCACUGAAAAAGAGAGAAGUUCCACACAGACUCCUGGGAAACACGACACCCCAAAACCAGGU